AUUGAACGCUGGCGGCAUGCUUUACACAUGCAAGUCGAACGGUAACAGGGAGCUUGCUCCGCUGACGAGUGGCGAACGGGUGAGUAAUGCGUCGGAACGUGCCGAGUAGUGGGGGAUAACGCAGCGAAAGUUGUGCUAAUACCGCAUACGUACUGAGGUAGAAAGUGGGGGACCUUCGGGCCUCACGCUAUUCGAGCGGCCGACGUCUGAUUAGCUAGUAGGUGAGGUAAAGGCUCACCUAGGCGACGAUCAGUAGCGGGUCUGAGAGGAUGGUCCGCCACACUGGGACUGAGACACGGCCCAGACUCCUACGGGAGGCAGCAGUGGGGAAUUUUGGACAGUGGGCGAAAGCCUGAUCCAGCCAUGCCGCGUGUCUGAAGAAGGCCUUCGGGUUGUAAAGGACUUUUGUCGGGGAGGAAAUCCCCAGCGCUAAUACCGCUGGGGGAUGACAGUACCUGAAGAAUAAGCACCGGCUAACUACGUGCCAGCCGCCGCCGUAACAC
rnacentral:rRNA from 1 species